rnacentral:misc_RNA from 1 species
GUUCAAGGCUGCUCAGGGAGAGCGAAUCGUCAUCGACGUCGAGCAGUGCAAGGUUGAGAUGUGAUUGGAUAUCAGAUCGAGGACAUACUUCAUCAUCUAGAGUGUUGGAAUCCCCUAGAGCAUUGAUCUGUUGCCUUGCCCACUUGGUUACAUCUACAUCACCUUGGAGAAGUUUCAGAACAAGGCUCAUUGGAGGUCUAGCUCGUGGGGCACGUCUGAUACAAAGGCUCGC